rfam:Medicago truncatula strain A17 chromosome 8, whole genome shotgun sequence.
UUGGAGGCAACGAUGUUGAAAGUUGUCUAUUUUAUGAGUGGAUAGAAAAUUUCCCUUGUGAUUUUCAAAACUACCAAUGGAUGCUUCUUUGCCUUCUA